AUGGAAAACCAGACCAGUACAAAUUCAAACAAAAUUGGUGAAGAGGACAAUGAAGGAGCGAAUAAUGGCAUACCUAGCUGGGCACCACAGAUUGGUAUGAGAUUUAGCACUUUGGAAGAGGCCUGGAACUUUUGGGAGUAUUACGGAGGUCGAAUUGGGUUUGGUGUCAGGAAGAGGUAUGCAAAUCCAAGUAAGUUUGAUGGUAUAAUCACAUCAGUCAGAUUCGUGUGUCGCAAAGAGGGACAUAAGAAAUCAGACAAAAGAGAUCACCUGAGUAAGCAACCUCGAGCUGAAAUUAGGACCGAUUGCCCAGUUCACAUUGGCCUU
rnacentral:rRNA from 1 species